AACGAACGCUGGCGGCAGGCCUAACACAUGCAAGUCGAGCGCACCCUUCGGGGUGUGCGGCGGACGUGCGAGUAACGCGUGGGAACGUUCGCCUUUCUAUGGAAUAGCCCCGGGAAACUGAGAGUAACACCGUAUACGCACCUUGGGGGGAAGAUUUAUCGGAAAAGGAUCUGCCCGCGUUGGAUUUGGUAGUUGGUGAUGUAAUGGCCUACCAAGCCGACGAUCCAUAGCUGGUUUGAGAGGGUGCUUAGCCAAACUAGUAAUGAUACACGGCCCAGACGCCGCGUGGAAGGAGGAGUAGGGAAUCAUAGACCAUGGGGCCAACGCUAAGCUCGCCAUGACGCGUGAGUGAUGAAGUGUUUAGGGUUGUAAAGCUCUUUCAGCUGGGAAAAUAAUGACGGUACCAGCAGAAGAAGCCCCGGCUAACUACGUG
rnacentral:rRNA from 1 species